CUGCCCUCAAGCACGGCUUGUGUGUUGGGCCUCCGUCCUCCUCCCCGGGGGACGGGCCCGAAAGGCAGCGGCGGCACCGCGUCCGGUCCUCGAGCGUAUGGGGCUUGGUUACCCGCUCUUGUAGGCCCGGCCGGCGCUUGCCGACACAUCAAACUUUUUUCCA
rnacentral:misc_RNA from 1 species